CCUACGGGGGGCAGCAGUGGGGAAUAUUGGACAAUGGGGGCAACCCUGAUCCAGCCAUGCCGCGUGUGUGAAGAAGGCCCUCGGGUUGUAAAGCACUUUCAGUGAGGAAGAACGCCUGGUGGUUAAUACCCAUCAGGAAAGACAUCACUCACAGAAGAAGCACCGGCUAACUCCGUGCCAGCAGCCGCGGUAAUACGGAGGGUGCGAGCGUUAAUCGGAAUUACUGGGCGUAAAGCGCGCGUAGGUGGCUUGAUAAGCCGGUUGUGAAAGCCCCGGGCUCAACCUGGGAACGGCAUCCGGAACUGUCAAGCUAGAGUGCAGGAGAGGAAGGUAGAAUUCCCGGUGUAGCGGUGAAAUGCGUAGAGAUCGGGAGGAAUACCAGUGGCGAAGGCGGCCUUCUGGACUGACACUGACACUGAGGUGCGAAAGCGUGGGUAGCAAACAGGAUUAGAUAUCCGAGUAGUC
rnacentral:rRNA from 1 species